rnacentral:rRNA from 1 species
UAACAAGGAUUCCCCUAGUAACUGCGAGUGAAGCGGGAAGAGCUCAAAUUUAAAAUCUGGCGGUUCUGCCGUCCGAGUUGUAAUCUGGAGAAGCGUUUUCUGUGCUGGACCGUGCAUAAGUGUCUUGGAAUAGGACGUCAUAGAGGGUGAGAAUCCCGUCUUUGGUACGGACUACCAGUGCUCUGUGAUACGCUCUCAAAGAGUCGAGUUGUUUGGGAAUGCAGCUCAAAAUGGGUGGUAAAUUCCAUCUAAAGCUAAAUAUAGGCGAGAGACCGAUAGCGAACAAGUACCGUGAGGGAAAGAUGAAAAGCACUUUGGAAAGAGAGUUAAACAGUACGUGAAAUUGUUGAAAGGGAAACGCUUGAAGUCAGUCGCGUUGUCCAGGACUCAACCUUGGUUCUCCUUGGUGUAUUUCCUGGUUAACGGGUCAACAUCAAUUUUGAUCGGUGGACAAAGGCAGGGGGAAUGUGGCACCCUCGGGUGUGUUAUAGCCCCUUGUCGUAUACACUGGUUGGGAUUGAGGAUAUCACGCCCUCGGCGGUAGGAUGUUGACAUAAUGGCUUUAAGCGAC